CGCUGGCGGCGUGCCUAACACAUGCAAGUCGAGCGGAGAAUGCGGAUAUGUUUACAUGGAAGCAUUCUCAGCGGCGGACGGGUGAGUAACACGUGGGUAACCUGCCUCAAAGAGGGGGAUAGCCUUCCGAAAGGAAGAUUAAUACCGCAUAAGCCUGCAGUACCGCAUGGUACAGCAGGAAAAGGAGCAAUCCGCUUUGAGAUGGACCCGCGGCGCAUUAGCUAGUUGGUGAGGUAACGGCUCACCAAGGCGACGAUGCGUAGCCGACCUGAGAGGGUGAUCGGCCACAUUGGAACUGAGACACGGUCCAGACUCCUACGGGAGGCAGCAGUGGGGAAUAUUGCACAAUGGGCCGAAAGCCUGACCCAGCAACGCCGCGUGAAGGAUGAAGGUUUUCGGAUUGUAAACUUCUUUGACUGAGGACGACAAAAGGACGGUACUCAGAAAACAAGCCACGGCUAACUACGUGCCAGCCGCCGC
rnacentral:rRNA from 1 species